rnacentral:lncRNA from 1 species
GAACGCACGCUUGACAUAUCGACGACAUGCAUGAUAAGCACUAACGUGCGAACACGUAGGCCUUUGUACCUACGAACAAAGUUCCUCAGUCGUUGGUUUGGUUGCUGAAGUUGUAUUUGGACCCAAAUCAUGCUGUGGGUGGGUUUUCGAAGUGAAUUUCGUCGAACUUGCAGAACUCUAAGUCAUCUUUCCAUGUGACGUGGACAUGUUGGAGUUCAACAACUUUUUAUGGGCAUAAGAGCAACCAUCAAGAUGAAGUACAUGUAGAUGGUAUUUAUGUUUGGUCACAUCAAGGAGGUUGUUAAGGGAGUUGUGGAGUUGCUGACAUGCAAAAAGUCUACUGCAAUCUCGUCUUGAUCCGGAGGGGAAGGUCAAAUGUCAGGAUGAAUUCUUCAGAGAUUUCUUGAUGGAGGGCCAACAGAAGAUGGAUCAUUCUGUAUUAGACCGCUAUCCAAGGUAGCAUGAUGUCAACACUACCAUCUGGUGUCAUCAAGGAUGGCAAGUUAUGAACAGGCAAUCUUCAUCCUAUCCAUCAAGUACAAUCAGUGAGAUGGGCCACCUGACAGUUGAAUAGGCUGUGACAACUCUGACUGGUGGUGUUAUUGCAGGUGUACUGACGUCAGGUCAACUCAAUGGAAUCUAGAACCCAUGGACUGCAGUGAUUGAUUUGCUGCAAGAAUAGUUAACCAGAUGAAGUAAAUGGUUUCCAAAUAAAGAGUUGGCUCUAAUGGAGGUGGCCUGGUUGUCCAGUGGCAGCAUCAACAGCCAUCAUUACUAAGUUUCAAAAACCAUGCAAAGCCAUCACAAGAUCACCACAGGAUGCUAUUCUCAGUAAUAAUCACAAACCUUUCAAGGAAUGCCCCUUCAAGUUCUCACGAAUUUCCAUGUUCAUAAUAACCAUCCACAUGUCUCACAUGAUUAAAAUAUGUUUAUUUUGCUUUCAAACACGAUUUCUGAGUCGUAAAAAGAGGAGUCAAAUUUUCGCGCAAAUUGAAUU